AUUGAACGCUGGCGGCAGGCCUAACACAUGCAAGUCGAACGAGUGGCGGACGGGUGAGUAAUGUAUGGGAAACUGCCUGAUGGAGGGGGAUCACUACUGGAAACGGUGGCUAAUACCGCAUACCAUCAGAUGUGCCCAGAUGGGAUUGUCUAGUUGGUGGGGUAACGGCUCACCAAGGCGACGAUCCCUAGCUGGUCUGAGAGGAGGACCAGCCACACGGGAACGGAGACACGGUCCAGACUCCGACGGGAGGCAGCAGUGGGGAAUAUGGGACAAUGGGCGAAAGCCUGAUGCAGCCAUGCCGCGUGUAUGAAGAAGGCCUUCGGGUUGUAAAGUACUUUCAGCGGGGAGGCGUUACCCGCAGAAGAAGCACCGGCUAACUCCGUGCCAGCAGCCGCGGUAAUAC
rnacentral:rRNA from 1 species